CGAUACUAAACGGAAAGCGCUAAAGAAGCGUAGCCUGCUGUUGCUAUGGUUACCUUCUCAUGCAAACGCGAAUUUUGUGCUUGAGCGCCUAUUUUAGCGUAUUCUGUCUAACUUUCUUGGUUAAUGAAACGUUGUUUUAUAUAUUUAUGCGUUAAACGAUUACAUUUCUCUUAGACUCCCCACCCUGCAAACCCCCUUCCCGUAAUUCGCACCCUGAUCGUUUUGUUAGGAUACUUGUCGCUGUCCGUUCAGCACCACGAGCGCCUGAACCAUUGAAGACGUCGAGACUCCAGCAUAUGCACGACACUAAUUAAUUAGCUACUGUAAAUUACAUUAACCGCUAGAGGGCGAUCGAGCAUUGUUGAAGGCGAUAAACCCACACUGAAACAUUGGUGGGAGCCAAGACGAGCCAUCACAUGGUCUCUCAACAUGCGCUCUGUAGGGCCCCUAACGUUCGAGUUAUGCCAUCAGACUAAUGCGUUGUGACUGCUCCUUUCUCUUGUGACGAAGUCUUACAGCUGCCUCCAAAUCAAUGGAUGUCAAAGAAAUAUGAAACAAUCAUGACGGAGAAGAAGAACAAAUCCUGCCCGGAUAAUCAAAGACGGUGUUUCUCAAGACACCAGAUGAAUUCAGCACAACUUCUGUCAAAUUGCUCUUCGUUGUCUUUUAUUUUCUCCCUGCAGACGAAGGCCCCUUGUCACAUCUGUCGAAUUUGUAGUGUAAUUUGUAAUUAUUGCCCAUCAUGAGGUCUACAGCUUUAACCCGUCCUUAAUUAAAAGCAUAUUUAAGGUUCUGUCAGAGGCAGGAACGUAAACAGAUGGUUUUCUGUCAAGUGUACGAGCUCUGAAGAAUUCAUUCGAUGGAUCUCGUUUUGUAACGCGAGACGUCCCAUUAUCAUUAUUAUUAAAAACAACAACAUAAACCCUUCUUUCACGUGUUAUAGCUAAAAAUCCUUAUUUUUUUAUUUAUUUAAAAAAAAUCAGGGUAGUAAAACUCGUGCAAAUUAUAUCUUUUUAGUCCAUAACAAAGUUUACAUUUGCAUUAUUUUCAAUAUUUUGAGGCUCACAGAUACUCAGUGUUGGAAAACUGGAAAUUUAUUCAGACUUAAAGCUAAACGCAACGGAUACGAUUGAGUUUGCAUUAACAGCUCGUGACAUUAUUUAUAAUAUCACUUGAUUAACUGAAUUAAUAACGGUUUAAAUCGCGCAUUGUUGAAAGUGUAUUCUGUUUCACAACGCUGUAUUUCGCAUUCAGAAAUUCAGAUGAGCAAGCGAGCAGCAAUCAGUUCAAUUAUCUUCAAAAUAUUUACUU
ensembl:lncRNA